ACAUCAGGCAGGCAAGGGCAUCAAGAUGAAGUCACAGACCCAGGUCUUCAUAUUUCUACUGCUCUGUGUGUCUGGUGCUCAUGGGAGCAUUGUAAUGACCCAGUCUCCCAAAUCCCUGCCUGUAUCAGCAGGAGACAGGGUUACCAUGACCUGCAAGGCCAGUCAGAGUGUGAGUAAUGAAGUAAAUUGGUACCAACAGAAGCCAGGGCAGUCUCCUAAACUGCUGAUAUACUAUGCAUCCAAUCGGUACACUGGAGUCCCUGAUCGCUUCACUGGCAGUGGAUCUGGGACGGAUUUCACUUUCACCAUCAGCAGUGUGCAGGCUGAAGACCUGGCAGUUUAUUUCUGUCAGCAGGAUUAUAGCACUCCUCCCACAGUGCUUCAGCCUCCUACACAAACCUCUUUGAGAGUCUCACAGCUGCCUGUCCUACAUACAGCUGUGGCCUUGCACACUUCCCCCUCUGUCUGA